rnacentral:rRNA from 1 species
UACGGAGGGUGCAAGCGUUGUCCGGAAUCAUUGGGCGUAAAGCGCGUGUAGGCGGUCCGGUAAGUCCGCUGUGAAAGUCGGGGGCUCAACCCUCGAAUGCCGGUGGAUACUGUCGGGCUAGAGUACGGAAGAGGCGAGUGGAAUUCCUGGUGUAGCGGUGAAAUGCGCAGAGUAUCAGGAGGAACACCAAUUGCGAAGGCAGCUCGCUGGGACGUUACUGACGCUGAGACGCGAAAGCGUGGGGAGCAAACAGG